rnacentral:lncRNA from 1 species
AGUGAAUAAGUCUCACAAGAUCUGAAGGUUAUAUAAAGAGAAGUUCCCUACACCACUUCUGUCUUUGCCUGCUGCCAUCCACGUGAUAUGUGACUUGCUGCUCCUUGCCUUCUGCCAUAAUUGUGAGGCCUCCUCAGCCACACGGAAAUGCUUAUAGGCAUAAGAGACUUGCCUUGUCUCAGAUGAAACUUUGGACUGUGGACUUUUGAGUUAAUGCUGAUAUUAGGACUCUGCUUACCCUUUGUGAAUAAGCCCAGUGAAUCUGCUGAGUGAUGAGAGAGAGAGUGGGCCAGUCACUUCAUUGCUCCAGGUAACAUGCAGUUAUCUUCCCCCAGGAUUUUCUGUUGAAUGACACUUCAUAAAAAAGACUUUGAUUGCUGAGUUACAAAGACAAUUGUAUCUUCUUGUAAAGCAUACAGUCUUGGUGGUCCUACCCCAUGAACUGGCUGUCCCAGGACGGUUUUACGGUGGUUAUGUUGAAGAUGUAAAUAUUCUCCCUGCUGUGAGUAUUACUGCAGCUGCCCAAAGAUGCUUUAUUUUAAAGAUGUGGAUACAGGAAGAUAAAAGCAUCAGAAACACUGCAUGGGAAAAUCAUUCAGACUGCAGCUUCCUGGUUUUAGACAUCCCCACUGGCAAUUGGGACAUCUAUUUUGGAGAUGUAAUUGAAAAGACUGAAGAAUGUACUGAGGACCUUCUGGCUGAUAGAAGCUGACAAAGAAGCCAAGAUUGGUGAAGAUUUCUGCAAUACCUGAGUUUCUAAUCACAACAACAAAAAUGACCUGGAUAGAAAACCUUGGAGAUAGUAAUUGAUGGGCAUCACGUAGCUGGUUGCUGGAGAAACACUGAAGCAGAACUUGUAAUAUCUUCAAAACAAGUGAAGGCCAGGAAUCAGAAAUGCUUCUGAAGGUCAGCUGCCUCUCCAGCCAUCUAUGAAGAGCUAUGGUUCUGAAUCCUGGCUAAUAUCAGAAUCAUCCUGGGAGCUUUUGAAAAUCCUGAUGCUCAAGUCACACUCCAUACUCAGACAAGAAGCUGAGUCUCAGAGAGAGAAAAUGACUCAUCCAAGCAAGGUUUGAGACCUAAGAAAGAAUCAACCUGAAUCAAAUAUAACUAUAGGAGGUGCCUUUUGGACAAUACAGAGGCCAUGCUCAAGGAACACAAAAGGAACUGAAGUUGUGUGGAUUACAAGAGAGUUCGAUGUGUUCUAAAUUCAUUAUGUAGGUAAUGAAUGGGAUCUCGUGAAAAGUGGAACUAAGCCUCUUUGGUAAAGCCUGAAGAGUGGAGUCAAAAGCAAUGAGUAGAAAUCAUUUUACCCAUGCCAUCCACCUACCUAUCUACCCAUACAGACACCCAACAAAUUGUAAAAGAAAAGUAGGCAAUCAGGAUAAUCAGUAGUUUAAUAUGAUUUGGGGGUUCAUUAAAGGCUUUCCUUUAGAAAUCACAUUUAAACUGAGACCUGAAGGAUGGCUUCUGUCGUUAGCCAGAUGAAAAGAGAAGAUAAGCAUUCCAAGCAGAGGGAACAGGAAAGGUGGAAACAAACUGGGCAUAUUCCAGGACGUGGAAGGAAGCAGUAGGUAGCUUAAGUAGCAUGAAGAACACUUACAGAAGAGUUUAGAAUGAAGCAGGAGCCAGACCAUGGAGGUUGUGUAAGCAGAAGCUGGAAGACCCUUGAAAAGAGCAUUCAUUCAAGAAAUGAAGCAUGAGAUAGGAUGGAAGGAGGGAAGAAAGACAAGCAUAUGGCAUAUCAGGUCUCUUCCAGUGCUAAAGGCUGCCUAUGAUACUCAUCUGACCUGAUUUCUCCUGCACAGUGUUGCAACUGACGAGUAGCAGACUUGCCCUUGCCUGCAUUUGGGGGGAUGGCUGAGACUUUCCUUACAGAAAGCCCUACUUUCAGCAUGAACACUAACCCAGUUUAUUGGCUCAGGGUGUAGAGAGUUGCCUUGUCACUGGCGAAGUCAGAUGCAGCCAGUACCAGAGCUCUGCACUAGCUGUGAACACUAAGGAAGAAUAGCUGAGUGAGGAAGCAGAGUGCCAGGCAGCACAUCCUUCUUCAGGUGUUUCCUGCCCUGGGCCAGAUCCCAGGCACUGCAGCAAUAUCUCUGCAUGAUCUAGGGCUCCUGGAAAUAGCCCAUUAAGGGCAAAACUCGCUGCCCAGAAAACAUUAGAACAUUAAAAGAGCAGGGUCUCAUCUGAUUGUCUUGGUUUCCUGAGGCUCAUUCAGUCUGUGUCCACUGGUUUCAGUCUGAGUUCUCUGCACUUUGAGGAUGCAGACAGUGAAGUUCUCCCAUGGUUAUAGGGGGAGAGAUCAUAGGAAUGCUAUGGAAAGAGGCCUGAAGUCAGAGCCAGCUAGUGGUUAUUAUUUAUUAAUUGCCUGUGAGGUGCCAGGCGCACAUAUUAGACCAUAUGUGAUUGCAGUGAGCCACCCGGAUCCCCUUCAAGCUGCUGCUGCAGCUGAUGGAAGUCCUAUUGGCAGACAGCCUUCUCUCAUCAGCCCCUUCAGGACUUGCCUCAGUUGCAGAGAGCUGCCUUCCCCAAGAUCACACCCUUCCCUGGGGACUCACAACCAAUGGCUGAUCCAGAAGAAUCCAUAAAGCCCGUAUCAUUUCAGCCCAAUUUAGGACAGCUUUGUUGAGCCAUUAGACCUACAUGCAGCCCAACCUCUCCUUCUACCCACUUCUUCUUUCUUCCCUUUCCUUCCACGGUGUCUGUUCCAAGCACUUGCCUUAAUAAACAUGUAACAGGUUAAACUCUGUCUCGAUGUCUGCUUCAAGGAGAACCCAACCUGUGACAGUGAUAACAGAUAAAAACAAAGGACAUCACUUUUCCCUGCCUUACUUUCCAUUUACCACUAAAAAGGGUCUUGGACUUGCCCACUCAGUUUCUUCUCUUUCUUCACUCUUUGGAGAUGGUCCCUCCACUACCACAGACACAAAAAAGAAGAGUUGGGAAGAGAGAGGGGUGAAAACAUUUGGGGCACUGCAGGCCUAGUGCUAGGUGACUGAAGACUACCUGGAGGGUGCAGGAAGUGACUGUUUCUCCAUCAUGUAUUGUAUUGCUAUAGUGACUUAAAAAACAAGUAGGUGAUUUGUGUUUUUUUGGUUUUUUUUUGUUUUUUUGGUUUUUUUUUUGAGACAGAGUCUCGCUCUGUCACCCAGGCUGGAGUGCAGUGGCGCUAUCUUGGCUCACUGCAAGCUCCACCUCCUGGGUUCAC